rnacentral:lncRNA from 1 species
AUAAAAGAGGGACGAAAGAUACCAAAGGGACAGUCAAACUCAUAAAUCUAAAACAAACUGACAACGCCAUGGUUAAAAAUGAAAAAGACAAACAGAAAAACAAUAGUACACAUGACACAACAUAGAAAACUAAAGAAUAAACAACACGAACCCCACCAAAAACUAGGGGUGAUCUCAGGUGCUCCGGAAGGGUAAGCAGAUCCUGCUCCACAUGUGGCACCCGUCGUGUUGCUUAUGUGAUUACAAAUCCGG